GACGAACGCUGGCGGCGUGCUUAACACAUGCAAGUCGAACGGAAAGGCCCUGCUUUUGUGGGGUGCUCGAGUGGCGAACGGGUGAGUAACACGUGAGUAACCUGCCCUUGACUUUGGGAUAACUUCAGGAAACUGGGGCUAAUACCGGAUAGGAGCUCCUGCUGCAUGGUGGGGGUUGGAAAGUUUCGGCGGUUGGGGAUGGACUGGCGGCUUAUCAGCUUGUUGGUGGGGUAGUGGCUUACCAAGGCUUUGACGGGUAGCCGGCCUGAGAGGGUGACCGGCCACAUUGGGACUGAGAUACGGCCCAGACUCCUACGGGAGGCAGCAGUGGGGAAUAUUGCACAAUGGGCGGAAGCCUGAUGCAGCAACGCCGCGUGCGGGAUGACGGCCUUCGGGUUGUAAACCGCUUUCGCCUGUGGCGAAGCGUGAGUGACGGUAAUGGGUAAAGAAGCACCGGCUAACUACGUG
rnacentral:rRNA from 1 species